rnacentral:pre_miRNA from 1 species
AUAUAGAUCUCCUGGGGAUUUUGUUAAAACAUGGAUUUUGAGAGCAGGAUCUGAGGUUGUACAUUUCUGACAGGUUCCCAUGAUGUUGUGAG